rnacentral:rRNA from 1 species
CCUUAGUACGGCGAGUGAAGCGGUAAAAGCUCAAAUUUGAAAUCUGGUACUUUCAGUGCCCGAGUUGUAAUUUGUAGAAUUUGUCUUUGAUUAGGUCCUUGUCUAUGUUCCUUGGAACAGGACGUCAUAGAGGGUGAGAAUCCCGUUUGGCGAGGAUACCUUUUCUCUGUAAGACUUUUUCGAAGAGUCGAGUUGUUUGGGAAUGCAGCUCAAAGUGGGUGGUAAAUUCCAUCUAAAGCUAAAUAUUGGCGAGAGACCGAUAGCGAACAAGUACAGUGAUGGAAAGAUGAAAAGAACUUUGAAAAGAGAGUGAAAAAGUACGUGAAAUUGUUGAAAGGGAAGGGCAUUUGAUCAGACAUGGUGUUUUUUGCAUGCACUCGCCUCUCGUGGGCUUGGGCCUCUCAAAAAUUUCACUGGGCCAACAUCAAUUCUGGCAGUAGGAUAAAUCAUUAAGAAUGUAGCUACCUCGGUAGUGUUAUAGCUUAUUGGAAUACUGCUAGCUGGGAUUGAGGACUGCGCUUCGGCAAGGAUGUUGGCAUAAUGGUUAAAUGCCGCCCGUCUUGAACCACGGGACCAAAA